rnacentral:rRNA from 1 species
CCUACGGGAGGCUGCAGUCGAGAAUCAUUCACAAUGGGGGAAACCCUGAUGGGGCGACGCCGCGUGGGGGAAUGAAGGUCUUCGGAUUGUACACCCCUGUCAUGUGGGAGCAAAUUAAAAAGAUAGUACCACAAGAGGAAGAGACGGCUAACUCUGUGCCAGCAGCCGCGGUAAUACAGAGGUCUCAAGCGUUGUUCGGAAUCACUGGGCGUAAAGCGUGCGUAGGCUGUUUCGUAAGUCGUGUGUGAAAGGCGCGGGCUCAACCCGCGGACGGCACAUGAUACUGCGAGACUAGAGUAAUGGAGAGGUAACCGGAAUUCUCGGUGUAGCGGUGAAAUGCGUAGAUAUCGAGAGGAACACUCGUGGCGAAGGCGGGUUCCUGGACAUUAACUGACGCUGAGGCACGAAGGCCAGGGGAGCGAAAGGGAUUAGAUACCCGGGUAGUC